rnacentral:SRP_RNA from 1 species
GCUGGGCCUGGUGGCAUGUGCCUGUAAUCCCAGCUACUCGGGAGGCUGAGGCAGGAGAAUUGCCUGAACCCAGGAGGCGGAGGUUGCAGUGAGCCGAGGUCGUGCCAUUGCACUCCAGCCUGGGUAACGAGCGAAACUCUGUCUCAAAAACAAAAACAAAAAAUGUUCGGCAUAUAUCCUUCCAGAUUGUCUUUUUUUUGAGACGGAGUUUCACUGUUGUUACCCAGGCUGGAGUGCAAUGGCGCGAUCUCGGCUCACCGCAACCUCCGCCUCCUGGGUUCAGGCAAUUCUCCUGCCUCAG